CUUGACCGCUGGCGGCAGGCCUAACACAUGCAAGUCGAGCGGAGCGGCGGACGGGUGAGUAAUGCCCAGGAAUCUGCCUGGUACUGGGGGAUAACGUCCGGAAACGGGCGCUAAUUCCGCAUACUAUCAGACGAGCCUAGGUCGGAUUAGCUAGUUGUUGGGGUAAAGGCCUACCAAGGCGACGGUCCGUAACUGGACUGAGAGGAUGACCAGCCACACUGGAGCUGAGACACGGUCCAGGCUCCUCCGGGAGGCGGCAGUGGGGAAGAUUGCACAAUGGGCGCAAGCCUGAUGCAGCCAUGCCGCGUGUAUGAAGGAGGCCUUCGGGUUGUAAAGUGCUUUCAGCGGGGAGGCGUUGCCCGCGGGAGAAGCACCGGCUAACUCCGUGCCAGCCGCCGCGGUAAUAC
rnacentral:rRNA from 1 species